ACUCCUACGGGAGGCAGCAGUGAGGAAUAUUGGACAAUGGGCGCAAGCCUGAUCCAGCCAUGCCGCGUGCAGGAAGACGCAUCUAUGGUGUGUAAACUGCUUUUGUACGGGAAGAAACACUCCCUCGUGAGGGAGCUUGACGGUACCGUAAGAAUAAGGAUCGGCUAACU
rnacentral:rRNA from 1 species